UGGCUUUCCGGUGCCUGCAGAAAGAACCAGCCCCGCUGGAGACAGGUGUGGGAUCUCCUCCUCCUCCUCUUCUCAGGGUGUGCUUGCCUUAAGUGACGUCAAUGAAGCUGGGUUGAUGUUGAAGCUGAAGAGCCAGUAACCAGAGCAAGGGGGAUUAACUUCCCUGGCCAGCUGGAACACAGCUACCCACAGCACAUGGAUGGCAAUGGGAGCUUGAAUGGAAGUGAGGGCGGGCAGAAAGAGGGCCUUCCUUACCCCUUGCCCACUACCUUAGCCCUCAUCUUCCUGGCCACGCUGCUCAUGAUCUUCACCAUCUUUGGCAACAUAUUAGUCAUUAUUGCUGUCUUCACCAGCCGGAUGCUGAAGGCCCCUCAGAACCUCUUUUUGGUUUCCUUGGCCUCAGCAGACAUCCUGGUGGCCACCUUGGUCAUUCCCUUCUCUCUCGCCAAUGAGGUGAUGGGCCAGUGGUAUUUUGGCAAGGUGUGGUGUGAGAUCUACCUGGCUUUGGAUGUACUCUUCUGCACUUCUUCCAUUGUGCAUCUCUGUGCCAUCAGCUUGGAUCGCUACUGGUCCAUUACACAGGCCAUUGAGUACAACCUCAAGCGCACACCACGCCGCAUCAAAAGCAUCAUCUUCCUGGUUUGGGUCAUCUCCGCUGUCAUCUCUUUCCCACCACUUAUCUCCAUUAUGAAGCAGGGUGAGCCCGAGGGUCAGCUCCACGAACAAACAGAAUUGAAACCUGAGAACAAAUUGCCCAGCUGCAGUAUCAACAAGAUGACCUGGUACAUCAUCAGUUCCAGCAUUGGCUCCUUCUUUGCUCCUUGCCUUAUCAUGAUCCUGGUCUACAUCCGUAUCUACCAGAUUGCAAAAAGGAGGUCUCGGGUGCCUCUCAACAAGCAAGGGGAGACUGUAGAGAGCAGACAGAAUGGGUUGGAUAACAAAGAUGAUACAGCUGCGAUAACCAAGCUCAAUGGGGGAAAGGCAACAUUGGCAAGAGGAAGCCGAGAAUCAGAAGCCAAUGGUAUAGACCUGGAGGACACGUCUUCUUCAGAACACAAUGACACGCCUCAGCCUAGGAAAGCAGACAGGCACCCCAGAAGUAAGGGCAAAACCAAACUCUGCCAAAUUAAGCCUGGGGACCAUUUGUCUAAUCAAGUAGAAGAGGAAAGAAAUGCCAAAGCUUCACGAUGGAGGGGGAGACAGAACCGGGAAAAGCGCUUCACCUUCGUACUUGCAGUAGUGAUUGGAGUUUUUGUUGUCUGCUGGUUUCCUUUCUUCUUCACUUACACAUUGACUGCUGUUUGUAGUAGCUGCUAUGUUCCCGAUACCCUCUUCAAGUUCUUCUUCUGGUUUGGUUAUUGCAAUAGUUCCCUGAAUCCUGUCAUCUAUACUAUCUUCAAUCAUGACUUUAGGAGGUCCUUUAAAAAAAUUCUCUGCAGAAUAAACCGGAAAAGAAUUGGGUGAAGCGGGGAUCUGUUUGCAAGGCAAGUCUUAGGUUCAGCUGUGGUGGGAUAUUGGAAGUGGGUGGCACCUUGUCUGAUUACUGAGCAUUGACUCUUCAAAGGCUUCAGGUGAGAUAAAACAAUUAAAAUAUUAGUGCACAACCAGAACCCAAGAGGAUAUGUGCCCAGGGAUGGAUCAAAAGUCUUAUUUUAGUGUGUUCUUUCUAUGUAUUUCAGCACAUUGAACAAAUGAGGCUGGGAAAGGAAAAUAAAUACCUAUUGCAAGCUAACUUUCUCAGCUCAUCAAAUAAAUAUACUGAGUACUAUUAAAAGGGAAGCGGAAAACAUCAUAAUUUUAUUUUCAAUAUUAUGACAACAUAUUAUUAAAUGUACAAUCUAUCUGAUGAUGCUGUAAAAACUCUUCCUUUUAAAGCUGUAAAUUGGAUAAAUUCUUUAUGUGAAAAUUUUUAUAUGGAUGACAGGGCCUUCUUUAAAAAAUGCCACCCUAUUCUAUGAAACACCAUGGAUAUCCAAUCUUCAGACUUGUAUGCCUAUAUUUUGUAAUUAAAUAAUUUUUUAAAAAUGAAUCUGAUACUCCUAGUUAGUCUAAAACUAGAAUGCUAAUUGAGAAGGGAAAAGAAAAUAAGUUAUUAGCAACAAAGAUAUUACUUGUCUAAAAGCUCAUUUUUUAAAAAAAAAGUUAAAAGAGUUAAUUGCAAAUGUUUGCCUAAAGUGUUUUUAACCCAGACUUUAAAAUUUCUUUUUUUAAAGACUCCUUUUCCAGUGCAAGGAAAUUCAUACUAUUUAUAUGGAGCUGUUUCUAAAAUGUGUAUUAGUAUCCAAGGGCUCAAACAAUGGGGGUGUGAUGGGGACAUGGGGAUGAAUACACCAGCACACAGUCAAAAAUAAUGCUGCCAUUAUAAGUCUAUUGCAAAGGUAUUGCAAUUUAGCAGGAUUGAGGCCAGGCCUUAUAUAUGAAUCAGGCUGCUUGGUCAAUAAACAGUUUUCCUUGCAUUCCGUUUAAAAUGAGAGAGUCAUUUUCUCCCUGUUGCAAGAUAAUAAAAGUUCAAAGCCUGUGUGACUUCCCCUAUUUGUUGUAAUUGGCAUUUGAAAUGCUGGAAUUUUAAUACCCACUUCUAACCAGAAAAAAAAAUCAGGACACAUAGAUAAGAAGAAAUUUUUCUUUUGAUGGAGGGAAUCUGUCUGCAUUGUGUUGUAUCUUGUAUGUCCCCAAUUUCAUGUUUUCCUGCUAUAUUUGGACUGAAAUUUGCAGAGUUGUUCAUGAAGGCUGGGAAUUCCAGAGAUAAGCCAACACAUUUGGAGAAGGCAAUUUGGGGAAGGUUGAAGUAUUUCUAAUGCCUUGAAGGAGCUGAAUAAGAGAUUUCAGUUAGAAACACUGUAAGCAGUUUGUCUUUUCCAGUCUUACAGAUUGAUUCUAUGGUUUGUAACAAGGAAUUCAACUGCUAAAUUAUUUUACAUAGUAAACAGGUAGCAGAGUUCCAAAUUUACAUAGGAAAUUAAGAACCAUGUUUUCAAUAUGUUUCCAAAUAAUACCUUUGCAAUGGUCUAUCCACAAUAGGAAAGGAAAUGGCUUCCUUAUGAUAUAAAAGGAAUAGCUUAAAAUUCAGGCCAGAGUGAAAGGCCAGAAUCAAUGGCUUAAAACUACAAGGAACUACAGUAGGUUCAGAUUAGAUGUCAGGUGAUUGUCCUCAUUACUGUGUUUCCCUGAAAAUAAGACAGGUUCUUAUUUUCUUUUAACCCCUGAAAUAAGCACUUGGCCUUAUU